rnacentral:ncRNA from 1 species
GCAGAGUAGCGUCUUUCGCGUGAAGUGUUCAUGAACGGGGAGUUGUCAUGAAACGAAACGGCAUCAUCGCUGUACGAUGGAAGAUGCGCAUCCCGCUGC